UUAUAAGGGUCUGAUCCAAAGCCCACUGAAGUCAAUGAAGUUCUUCCAGUUGACUUCACUAGGCUUUGGAUCAAGCCCAUGAUGG
rnacentral:pre_miRNA from 1 species